rnacentral:rRNA from 1 species
AGAGUUUGAUCCUGGCUCAGGACGAACGCUGGCGGCGUGCCUAACACAUGCAAGUCGAGCGGAGUUAUCCGGAUGAAGUUUUCGGACGGAUGAAGGAUAAUUUAGCGGCGGACGGGUGAGUAACGCGUGAGCGACCAACCUUACACAGGGGGAUAACGGAUCGAAAGAUUCACUAAUACCGCAUGAGACCACAGCACCCAUGGUGCGGGGGUCAAAGGAGCAAUCCGGUGUAAGACGGGCUCGCGUCCGAUUAGGUAGUUGGUGGGGUAAUGGCCUACCAAGCCUAUGAUCGGUAGCCGACCUGAGAGGGUGAUCGGCCACAUUGGGACUGCGACACGGCCCAGACUCCUACGGGAGGCAGCAGUGGGGAAUAUUGCGCAAUGGCCGCAAGGCUGACGCAGCGACGCCGCGUGGAGGAUGACGCCCCUCGGGGUGUAAACUCCUGUUGCUCGGGACAACCAUGGGUUUAGACCCAUCUGACGGUACCGAGUGAGGAAGCACCGGCUAACUCCGUGCCAGCAGCCGCGGUAAUACGGAGGGUGCGAGCGUUGUCCGGAAUUAUUGGGCGUAAAGAGCUUGUAGGCGGUUUGUCGCGUCUGUCGUGAAAACCAGGGGCUUAACUCCUGGCGUGCGGUGGGUACGGGCAGGCUAGAGUGUGGUAGGGGAGACUGGAAUUCCUGGUGUAGCGGUGAAAUGCGCAGAUAUCAGGAAGAAACCGAUGGCGAAGGCAGGUCUCUGGGCCAUUACUGACGCUGAGAAGCGAAAGCAUGGGGAGCGAACAGGAUUAGAUACCCUGGUAGUCCAUGCCGUAAACGUUGGGCGCUAGGUGUGGGGCUCAUUCCACGAGUUCUGCGCCGCAGCUAACGCAUUAAGCGCCCCGCCUGGGGAGUACGGCCGCAAGGCUAAAACUCAAAGGAAUUGACGGGGGCCCGCACAAGCGGAGGAACAUGUGGUUUAAUUCGAUGAUACGCGGGAACCUUACCUGGGCUUAAAUGUAGAUUGCAUAACUUAGAAAUAGGUUUUCCCUUCGGGGCUAUUUACAAGGUGCUGCAUGGUUGUCGUCAGCUCGUGCCGUGAGGUGUCGGGUUAAGUCCCAUAACGAGCGCAACCCCUAUCUUUAGUUGCCAUCAGGUAAUGCUGGGAACUCUAGCGAGACUGCCACCGUAAGGUGUGAGGAAGGGGGGGAUGACGUCAAAUCAGCACGGCCCUUACGUCCGGGGCGACACACGUUUACAAUGGUAGGUACAGAGGGCAGCUACCCAGCAAUGGGAUGCGAAUCUCAAAAGCCUAUCUCAGUUCGGAUCGGAGUCUGCAACUCGACUCCGUGAAGUUGGAUUCGCUAGUAAUCGCGCAUCAGCCAUGGCGCGGUGAAUACGUUCCCGGGCCUUGUACACACCGCCCGUCAAGCCAUGGAAGCUGGGUGUACCUAAAGUCGGUAACCGCAAGGAGCCGCCUAGGGUAAAACUAGUAACUGGGGCUAAGUCGUAACAAGGUAACC